GACGUAGGAUGCAAGCGUUGUCCGGAUUUAUUGGGCGUAAAGAGUUCGUAGGCGGUUCGUUAAGUUUGGUGUUAAAGACCGGGGCUCAACCUCGGGACCGCACUGAAUACUGGCGGACUGGAGUGCAGUAGAGGCAAGCGGAAUUCCCAGUGUAGCGGUGAAAAUGCGUAGAUAUUGGGGAAGAACACCGGUGGCGCAAGCGGCUUGCUGGGGCUGUUACUGACGCUGAGGAACGAAAGCUAGGGGAGCGAAUGGG
rnacentral:rRNA from 1 species